ACGUAAGUAUCUUUUUAAAAGGAUUCUGGUAUGGACGAUCUCCAAAUCAGCAGAUUGCCUCCAGAUCAAUAGAGAUGAGAGUGCUAUCAGUCGAGUAGCCUAUAUACCCUGAACUGCGUAUAUACAUUGCUUGUCCGUCAGCAGCAGGAUUUCAGUGCGAUUCAACACGGAUUUCACCACCAGAUAGGACCUAUUAUCUUCUUCCCCUUGCCACACAUGUACCCCUACGUCUCCGAGUGCGAUCUGUGCCCUAGUUUCUACACGUUGAUAAGUUCCAGUUGUAAGGUAACCUGAUCUUGAAAAGCAUUCCUCGCGCUUUGGCACCACCGCUGAUCCAUGCUGUGCAUUCCAUAACUUGCAGGUCCUCACACAGGUUGCCAGUUCAUAUCAUUGAUCGAUGAGCUUGUAGCCAUGUCAAGACAGCCCAAUUCCUCAUACAAUAGAGGACUCAGAAAAGUAUGAAUACUUCGUCAAGGUGAAACUAGCACUGUGUCUACUUUGAGGUUUCCGUCGAGGCAUCCUCGAUCUGAAAUCCUGAAAUCGAACCGCCCGUUUGGACCGGAAGAGCUAGUAACCAGCCGCUCAGACAGAAACUGGAAGCCUGGAGGAGGCCCCAGCUUUCUGCUAACUCUUGAUUGUUCGAUGGUUCAAUCCUCCGAUUCUACCAUAAUGAGUCAUGACCAUGGCACAGUGCAACCUCCAAGGAGCCCAGUCACAGACACGCUCAUAACACGUGGGAAGCGGAUCCAACAUGGGUGCAAUUGGUUAAGGCUCCUGCGGGCGCUACCAAAUUCGAAUUAUUUCAUCCAAUUCUGACGAUCGUGGUGACGAUACUCAUCUCGAAGCUGCCCUGACACAGCGCUCACUGCGUCAUCGGAGAAAAAUUUGCAGUCUAUCCAAGUCGGUUAGUGGUCUAACACGUGAUGUCAACUAGCGACUUGAUCCUUGGGGUAAACCUUCUGGAGUGAUCAGUGACAUUCACAGGCGGUGACCUCCUCCUCCUCUCUUGCACCACUUCGUUUAACGAUGACAACUUUUUUAGCUUCUGCGCGGUCUCUAUCGAGUGAAACGGAUUCUUAAAGCGUGAGCCAAGUUUCGCUUGGUCGCUUGAAGGCUCCGCAGUCUGUCUGUGUAUCUCGUUGCCUCUACUGCACGUCCCCUUGUCGUAGACAUCUAUUGCUCCCGCAGCUCUAUCGUCUGAUCCACAUGUGCCUAGUUCACUUCCGCCAAAUCUAGGACGGCUCUUGGCGUCUGGGCGAGCGCAACCCACUUGGGCGAGCGCUUCCCUGGAGUCACAACUUAAAGCCGGACCGAGCUUAGUUGGCGAUAACGCAACCUCCACCAAACGAUCCAGCGCAACGGCGCCACUCCUCGCGGGCUUUACAAUAAUGGGACGUAGCUUGCAAAGCUCUCGGAACCGCUUCUUCGGGGGACACUGCCUCAGAAACUGCAGGCAUGGCUCGCACUUCAUCCCCAUCCCCGUUGCUCCAUAACCCACCAAUCCUCCUUCUCCUCCGCCUCCGGUACAGACGCAAGUGCAUCCCCGCUCCUCAGCCCCGUCGGCUCCCAUGAUCGACACCACUACUUGCACCCGCGAGACCACGUUUAGAAUAUCACCUUGACACCACCAAAAUGCUACGAACCCCACUCCCUCUCACAACACCGACAUAGACUCGCGAUCAGAUUAGAAAACUACAGUCUAGGUGGUGCGACAAAUGCAGAAAGAUAGUUCAAUGAUUCAGUUGAAGGUGCCAAGUUAGCGUUAACAUGUGCAGGACUAAACUGGCAGAGCAAGUAGACAAUGGACCAGGUUCCAGGAUCUUGAUGAAGCAUCCAUUCAUUCCCUAUCGGUGGUAUGUCACUGCUGGAACCGGCCUUGUCACAUGCAAAGCCUGCGGACGCAAGAGAUUUUUUCGAGUUUCUUGUUUGUUACUAUUCAUCAAGUUGCGAUCCUCACAAGCAGAAGCCAACAUGGUGAUCUCUGGGAUCUGAAAGUGGCCAUGACUCCAUGCAAUGAUCGGCCCCAGUCUACAAAUCCAUUCAUUGAACCACGGCUUUAUCCAGUUACUGCAGGAAAUGUCGGGGGCAAAGUAAGAAGGCGAUUGGCUAUUCUUGGGCGCCGAGGGCCUGUAACCUGGGAAGCCCAGGCUAAAGAUGAGCGGUGAAUCGAAUUAUUUAAUUGUGUAGAAUCUGAUCUGGGGCCGUAACUGUAGAGGUGCGCUGUCAGAGCUCCCGGGUAUCGUCAGGCAGCAUUCAAGGCGGUGUUUAAACAGGUUUGAAAGGGCUCCCGAUCUGCUGUGGAGUUGAUGGAAUUGUGGCGCCACUUGCUUCUAAUGUCUUCUAAUGGCUGCAGAUUUGUGUGUAGCUGCAGAGGGAAAAGCGGAUAACGCAGACUAUGUGAGGUCUUUUGGACGCGGUGUCGACUGUAUCAGGAGCUACGGUAAAUAGUACAACCCUACGGCGAGGUCUAGAAGACAAUUAUUUGUUGAUUUCCUGUAAUAAAAUCUUUGAGUCACCACCUCUUUUUUCGAUUUUGAUUUUCAAAGAAGUGAAAAGUGGAUAUAUUCUAUUUGGGCCAGUCACGUAACUCUGUAUGGACGCAGAAAUUCGUGAGGCAGUUCCACUUCCUGUUCAACAGAGAAUUUUAGAGAAUAUUCUAUGAUAAUAAGACUCCCACCUGUCGCCAGGAAUAGAAAAACUUAGUCCCCUGAAUUCUUUUUGGCACGAAUGAAAAGGAUUGCUCGCCUUUUUCACGCCACAUAGCCGGCUUAACACCGGAUGAUCACACAAUAUUAUAACAGGCCACUAACAAUUACACCCUGCCCCUUGCUUUUUGGGCGUUCUCAAAAAAAAAAAAAUGCACAGAAGGGUCCCGCUGAAUUGGGAAACCUGGAUAAAAGGGACAAAGGAAAGGGG
rnacentral:lncRNA from 1 species